rnacentral:rRNA from 1 species
GACGAACGCUGGCGGCGUGCCUAAUACAUGCAAGUAGAACGCUGAAGGAGGAGCUUGCUUCUCUGGAUGAGUUGCGAACGGGUGAGUAACGCGUAGGUAACCUGCCUGGUAGCGUGGGAUAACUAUUGGAAACGAUAGCUAAUACCGCAUAAUAGUAGAUGUUGCAUGACAUUUGCUUAAAAGGUGCAAUUGCAUCACUACCAGAUGGACCUGCGUUGUAUUAGCUAGUUGGUGAGGUAACGGCUCACCAAGGCAACGAUACAUAGCCGACCUGAGAGGGUGAUCGGCCAGACUGGGACUGAGACACGGCCCAGACUCCUACGGAAGGCAGCAGUAGGGAAUCGUCGGCAAUGGACGGAAGUCUGACCGAGCAACGCCGCGUGAGGGAAGAAGGUUUUCGGAUCGUAAAGCUCUGUUGUAAGAGAAGAACGAGUGUGAGAGUGGAAAGUUCACACUGUGACGGUAUCUGACCAGAAAGGGACGGCUAACUACGUG